UGACUGCGUACCUUUUGUAUAAUGGGUCAGCGACUUAUAUUCUGUAGCAAGGUUAACCGUAUAGGGGAGCCGUAGGGAAACCGAGUCUUAACCGGGCGUUAAGUUGCAGGGUAUAGACCCGAAACCCGGUGAUCUAGCCAUGGGCAGGUUGAAGGUUGGGUAACACUAACUGGAGGACCGAACCGACUAAUGUUGAAAAAUUAGCGGAUGACCUGUGGCUGGGGGUGAAAGGCCAAUCAAACCGGGAGAUAGCUGGUUCUCCCCGAAAGCUAUUUAGGUAGCGCCUCGUGAAUUCAUCUCCGGGGGUAGAGCACUGUUUCGGCUAGGGGGCCAUCCCGGCUUACCAACCCGAUGCAAACUGCGAAUACCGGAGAAUGUUAUCACGGGAGACACACGGCGGGUGCUAACGUCCGUCGUGAAGAGGGAAACAACCCAGACCGCCAGCUAAGGUCCCAAAGUCAUGGUUAAGUGGGAAACGAUGUGGGAAGGCCCAGACAGCCAGGAUGUUGGCUUAGAAGCAGCCAUCAUUUAAAGAAAGCGUAAUAGCUCACUGGUCGAGUCGGCCUGCGCGGAAGAUGUAACGGGGCUAAACCAUGCACCGAAGCUGCGGCAGCGAACGUAUCACCCAAGACAACUUUACGGAGUUGACGAUUGACGGAGCGAAGCGACGUCAAAGCGUUCAUUAAAGUCGAGUUGGCUUAGGGAUACGUUCGUUGGGUAGGGGAGCGUUCUGUAAGCCUGUGAAGGUGUGUCGUGAGGCAUGCUGGAGGUAUCAGAAGUGCGAAUGCUGACAUAAGUAACGAUAAAGCGGGUGAAAAGCCCGCUCGCCGGAAGACCAAGGGUUCCUGUCCAACGUUAAUCGGGGCAGGGUGAGUCGACCCCUAAGGCGAGGCCGAAAGGCGUAGUCGAUGGGAAACGGGUUAAUAUUCCCGUACUUGGUGUUACUGCGAAGGGGGGACGGAGAAGGCUAUGUUGGCCGGGCGACGGUUGUCCCGGUUUAAGCGUGUAGGUGUGUGUUCCAGGUAAAUCCGGUUCACUUUAACACUGAGGCGUGACGACGAGGCACUACGGUGCUGAAGCAACAAAUGCCCUGCUUCCAGGAAAAGCCUCUAAGCAUCAGGUAACACGAAAUCGUACCCCAAACCGACACAGGUGGUCAGGUAGAGAAUACCAAGGCGCUUGAGAGAACUCGGGUGAAGGAACUAGGCAAAAUGGUGCCGUAACUUCGGGAGAAGGCACGCUGACACGUAGGUGAAGUGAUUUACUCAUGGAGCUGAAGUCAGUCGAAGAUACCAGCUGGCUGCAACUGUUUAUUAAAAACACAGCACUGUGCAAACACGAAAGUGGACGUAUACGGUGUGACGCCUGCCCGGUGCCGGAAGGUUAAUUGAUGGGGUCAGCGUAAGCGAAGCUCCUGAUCGAAGCCCCGGUAAACGGCGGCCGUAACUAUAACGGUCCUAAGGUAGCGAAAUUCCUUGUCGGGUAAGUUCCGACCUGCACGAAUGGCGUAAUGAUGGCCAGGCUGUCUCCACCCGAGACUCAGUGAAAUUGAACUCGCUGUGAAGAUGCAGUGUACCCGCGGCAAGACGGAAAGACCCCGUGAACCUUUACUAUAGCUUGACACUGAACAUUGAGCCUUGAUGUGUAGGAUAGGUGGGAGGCUUUGAAGUGUGGACGCCAGUCUGCAUGGAGCCGACCUUGAAAUACCACCCUUUAAUGUUUGAUGUUCUAACGUGGACCCGUAAUCCGGGUUGCGGACAGUGUCUGGUGGGUAGUUUGACUGGGGCGGUCUCCUCCUAAAGAGUAACGGAGGAGCACGAAGGUUGGCUAAUCCUGGUCGGACAUCAGGAGGUUAGUGCAAUGGCAUAAGCCAGCUUGACUGCGAGCGUGACGGCGCGAGCAGGUGCGAAAGCAGGUCAUAGUGAUCCGGUGGUUCUGAAUGGAAGGGCCAUCGCUCAACGGAUAAAAGGUACUCCGGGGAUAACAGGCUGAUACCGCCCAAGAGUUCAUAUCGACGGCGGUGUUUGGCACCUCGAUGUCGGCUCAUCACAUCCUGGGGCUGAAGUAGGUCCCAAGGGUAUGGCUGUUCGCCAUUUAAAGUGGUACGCGAGCUGGGUUUAGAACGUCGUGAGACAGUUCGGUCCCUAUCUGCCGUGGGCGCUGGAGAACUGAGGGGGGCUGCUCCUAGUACGAGAGGACCGGAGUGGACGCAUCACUGGUGUUCGGGUUGUCAUGCCAAUGGCACUGCCCGGUAGCUAAAUGCGGAAGAGAUAAGUGCUGAAAGCAUCUAAGCACGAAACUUGCCCCGA
rnacentral:rRNA from 1 species